AGACACUAACUGUUGUACCCGAGAAGAUGGUGCAUGACCAAGACGAGAAUGCCAAAGUGCAAGAGAAGGUAAGGAAGAAACUGCAGCUGCUGCAGCAGCAACAGAAACAGGAGCAACAGGUGGAAGAUGAAGAUUGUUCACGGGAAACAUACGCCCAACUCUAGGACCGGUCCUAAGCUCCUGUCCCGUCCUCAGAUCCUG
rnacentral:lncRNA from 1 species